AUGAGAUAGUUGUCACCCUCUUUGGAGAUGCAUAUGGUCUUGAUUGUAGGAUAUAUCCAAUUGUCUAGCUAUGACUUCUCAGAACGUGGGGUCUAAUGGUUGAUAAGAUUUUGACUAAACUAAUCUUGCAGGGGCGUUUUCUCUUAGCGUGACGAUGGUUGUAUCCAGUAAGUCCAGUUGACCAUGUUCACAAGGCUCCCCCUUUCUAGGAGUUUCUCCGU
rnacentral:lncRNA from 1 species